GGGGAAAAACUCGCAUCAAACAUCUACUUAUCCUUUCGACUAAAAUUGAUGUGUAACUACAUGUCGCGACUAACAAUUGUGUGAAAAUAUUUUGUCGAUAUCUUAUAAGAUUUCUGAAAAUGAGAGAUAACAAGCCAAAAUCAAAAUUUUGAACAUGACCUUGACCUUUGACCUUGACCUCAUUUUCAUUUUUUUGAACCAAGGACCUCAAAUCAAAAGACCCUAGGUUUCUUAUCACUUAUGGUUUACCAGUUAGAAAUGCAUAUUCUUAUAUCAAACAUAAAAGGGAGGAAAACUCUCAUACGGAAUCUAUAUACGGCUUCGGUCAAAAUAAAACAGAACAUCCUGAGGAUAUAACGA
rnacentral:lncRNA from 1 species